rnacentral:misc_RNA from 1 species
UUGAAAUCCUUUGGAUGCUGCUGGCCUUUUAGGAGGCAUGUGCACUCCGCCUUUUUCAUCUCACCUGUGAACUCAUUGUAGGCUGGAAUUUAUUUUUCAGUCUAUGUUAUUUUUACACACACACACACAUGUAAAGAAUGUCUGUUAAAAGACCUUUAAUGGUCAACAAAUAUAAUA